rnacentral:rRNA from 1 species
AUACGUAGGGUGCGAGCGUUAAUCGGAAUUACUGGGCGUAAAGCGUGCGCAGGCGGUCUUGCAAGACAGUGGUGAAAUCCCCGGGCUCAACCUGGGAACUGCCAUUGUGACUGCAAGGCUGGAGUGCGGCAGAGGGGGAUGGAAUUCCGCGUGUAGCAGUGAAAUGCGUAGAUAUGCGGAGGAACACCGAUGGCGAAGGCAAUCCCCUGGGCCUGCACUGACGCUCAUGCACGAAAGCGUGGGGAGCAAACAGGAUUAGAUACCCUGGUAGUCCACGCCCUAAACGAUGUCAACUGGUUGUUGGGGAUUAACUUUCUCAGUAACGAAGCUAACGCGUGAAGUUGACCGCCUGGGGAGUACGGCCGCAAGGUUAAA